rnacentral:rRNA from 1 species
GGUGAACGCUGGCGGCGUGCUUGACACAUGCAAGUCGAACGGUAUGUGGCAACACAUAGAGUGGCGAACGGGUGAGUAACACGUGGGAACGUAUCUUUUGCAGGGGGAUAACUGACCGAAAGGACAGCUAAUACCGCAUAAGUCCGAGAGGAGAAAGGUGCAAAAGCAUCGGCAGAAGAGCGGCCCGCGGUCCAUCAGCUAGUUGGUGAGGUAAGGGCUUACCAAGGCGACGACGGAUAGCCGGCGUGAGAGCGUGGCCGGCCACAAGGACACUGAGAUACGGGUCCUACUCCUACGGGAGGCAGCAGUGCGGAAUUUUAGAUAAUGGAGGGAACUCUGAUCUAGCGACGCCGCGUGCAGGAAGAAGGUCUUCGGAUUGUAAACUGCUGUGGUAAGGGAAAAAAUGCUAUGUAGAGUAGAAAGCUACAUAGAGGGAUGGUACCUUACUAGAAAGCCCCGGCUAACUACGUG